GACGAACGCUGGCGGCGUGCUUAACACAUGCAAGUCGAACGGAAAGGCCCUGCUUGCAGGGUACUCGAGUGGCGAACGGGUGAGUAACACGUGGGUGAUCUGCCCUGCACUUCGGGAUAAGCCUGGGAAACUGGGUCUAAUACCGGAUAGGAGCCAUUUUUAGUGUGAUGGUUGGAAAGUUUUUUCGGUGUAGGAUGAGCUCGCGGCCUAUCAGCUUGUUGGUGGGGUAAUGGCCUACCAAGGCGGCGACGGGUAGCCGGCCUGAGAGGGUGGACGGCCACAUUGGGACUGAGAUACGGCCCAGACUCCUACGGGAGGAAGCAGGGGGGAAUAUUGCACAAUGGGCGCAAGCCUGAUGCAGCGACGCCGCGUGGGGGAUGACGGCCUUCGGGUUGUAAACUCCUUUCGAUAGGGACGAAGCUUUUUGUGACGGUACCUAGAUAAGAAGAACCGGCUAACUACGUG
rnacentral:rRNA from 1 species